GCCAUAUCGAUUAGCAACACAAAUAACAAAAUGAUAAACAUAUCAAAAAACAUUUUUGAACAUGACAGGGGAAGGAGAAGACUUGGCUAGGAAUAGUUUACCCUACAGGUUCUUUCACCAUGAAACCGAUAAUAGCAACCAAUUCAUGAAAGCAGUAAAAACCAGAAAUAACUAAGGACGUCCAACAGAUUAAAGGCUAAUACAUAUGAAACCUGCCUAGCCAUAACAAGCCGCUUCAGAAUAGCCAGUGCGGAUUAUUAGGAACUAUUAAAUGUAACCUAAAUAUUUAUUAAGACACCUGGACAAAAGGGUCGACGGCAGCGGUAAACAAAAUUAAAGAAAGUCUAUGCGCAAAAUGAUGUGCAGCUUAGCCGCCUUAUUUAGCGAGGACCGCUGACUCAGACCCUCGAGCCCGGGUGCAUUCCCCGUCCCAUCAGCGGCUACGUUUUCUAUUCUUCAGGCUGCUGAUUUGGAGAAUAGCAUCCGGGGUUGCACCACCAUUGACACCAUGCUAACUCAUAUUUAUGUAUGUAUAUCAGGGUUGCAAUAGAAAACACGUUCACCCAAUUUAGCUGCCGUACCAAACCCCAAACUAGAGCAAAUAAAAAAACUGACUUUUCACCCAAUAUAUUUGUUAAUUUCACCCACAAU
ensembl:ncRNA lncRNA:CR45199 long non-coding RNA:CR45199